UACAGAGGUCUCAAGCGUUGUUCGGAUUCAUUGGGCGUAAAGGGUGCGUAGGUGGCGGGGCAAGUUGGAUGUGAAAUCCCGGAGCUUAACUCCGGAACUGCAUUCAAUACUGCCUUGCUAGAGUACUGGAGAGGAGAUUGGAAUUUACGGUGUAGCAGUGAAAUGCGUAGAUAUCGUAAGGAAGACCAGUGGCGAAGGCGGAUCUCUGGACAGUUACUGACACUGAGGCACGAAGGCCAGGGAGGCAA
rnacentral:rRNA from 1 species